GACGAACGCUGGCGGCAGGCUUAACACAUGCAAGUCGAACGAGCUGGGAACUUCGGUUCCCGAUGCUAGUGGCGCACGGGUGAGUAACACGUGGGAACGUACCCUUUAGUACGGAAUAACUCAGGGAAACUUGAGCUAAUACCGUAUGACUCCUUCGGGAGAAAGAUUUAUCGCUAAAGGAACGGCCCGCGUCUGAUUAGGUAGUUGGUAGGGUAACGGCCUACCAAGCCGACGAUCAGUAGCUGGUCUGAGAGGAUGAUCAGCCACACUGGGACUGAGACCCGGCCCAGACUCCUACGGGAGGCAGCAGUGGGGAAUAUUGGACAAUGGGGGCAACCCUGAUCCAGCCAUGCCGCGUGAGUGAAGAAGGCCUUCGGGUUGUAAAGCUCUUUCGACGGGGACGAUGAUGACGAUACCCGUAUAAGAAGCCGCGGCAAACGUCGUGCCAGCCGCCGCGGUAA
rnacentral:rRNA from 1 species